UACGGAGGGUGCGAGCGUUGCUCGGAAUCACUGGGCGUAAAGCGUACGCAGGCUGUUUCGUAAGUCGGGUGUGAAAGCCCGGGGCUCAACCCCGGAAUUGCGCCCGAGACUGCGGAGCUUGAAUGCGGGAGAGGGAAGCGGAAUUCCUGGUGUAGAGGUGAAAUUCGUAGAUAUCAGGAGGAACACCGGUGGCGAAAGCGGCUUCCUGGCCCGACAUUGACGCUCAUGUACGAAAGCGUGGGGAGCGAACAGG
rnacentral:rRNA from 1 species